UACGUAGGUGGCAAGCGUUGUCCGGAUUUAUUGGGUUUAAAGGGUGCGUAGGCGGUCCUGUAAGUCAGUGGUGAAAUACGGCAGCUCAACUGUCGAGGUGCCAUUGAUACUGCGGGACUUGAGUACAGACGAGGUAGGCGGAAUUGACGGUGUAGCGGUGAAAUGCUUAGAUAUCGUCAAGAACACCGAUAGCGAAGGCAGCUUACUAGACUGUAACUGACGCUGAGGCACGAAGGUGCGGGGAUCAAACAGG
rnacentral:rRNA from 1 species